rnacentral:lncRNA from 1 species
GAAUUUGUACAACUAAAAACAGGUUCUAUUCUUGAAUUGAGAACCUGGUGAGCACAGUUGUGGGCAAUGCUAUUGAUAUUCCUCACAUGUGUCACCAAGUUCACCAUUCUUUUCAGGAGAGUAACAUUAACAUCAUGCCGCAGCGGACUAGUCGACGCAGCACAACAAAUUGAGCGAGGAAUCUACAUACAGCAGAAAAGAUACCAGCCAAACCAAAUCUAAUAACACAAACGAAGAACAUGCGCUAUAACUGUACUAGCAACAGGGAAACACUUCCUUUCGUAGUCCUGUCGAAGCGAGUGCUUCUCUAGCUACUACCUAUUGACUGAUCUUGCAGCCCCGGACAUAGGAAUGCUCGUAGUUGAUGUACUGCGUCCAGUAAGGCCGGUACUUGGUCAUCGCAAUCUCCAGCCACGGCUUCAUGUUCCCGUUGUAGUGGAUGACGGCGGCGGUGUCGAUCUCCGCGUGCUCGACCGUCGGGUUGUACCCUAGCCCAAGCACAUGCCAUGAUUUGUCCA